UACGGGGGGGGCAAGCGUUGUUCGGAAUUACUGGGCGUAAAGGGCUCGUAGGCGGCUUGUUGCGUCGACCGUGAAAACCCGGGGCUCAACUUCGGGCUUGCGGUCGAUACGGGCGGGCUAGAGUCCGGAAGAGGAGAGUGGAAUUCCACGUGUAGCAGUGAAAUGCGUAGAGAUGUGGAGGAAUACCGAUGGCGAAGGCAGCCCCCUGGGAUAACACUGACGCUCAUGCACGAAAGCGUGGGGAGCAAACAGG
rnacentral:rRNA from 1 species